rfam:Helianthus annuus linkage group 14, whole genome shotgun sequence.
AGACCAUGAUGAGGGCAUUUUCUUAAUAGCUCCUUGAAUCUUUCCCAAGUUUCAUUCAUAUAAGGAUUCCCCGUCCUCUUGAGAAUAUGUAUUAAUAUCAGUCAUUAAUUU